UGGUUUGUGGAAGAAUCCUCAAACCCAGACACAAAUCACAAACUCAUAAAACUGAGAGAAACCAAAGAAAACACAACCCGAAUUUUCAAACUUAUUUGCUUCUUUUGUAUAACUAGCUAAUCCACAGCCUAAAGGGGAUAAAGAGAGUAAUUGGAGAGCAAAGGGUUUUGAAAAAAGAAAGAUGGCAGGAAGAGAGGUCCGCGAAUACACCAAUCUUACCGACCCUAAAGAUAAGAAAUGGGGGAAAGGAAAGGAGAAGAUAGAUGAUGAAGA